rnacentral:rRNA from 1 species
UGGGGAAUUUUGGACAAUGGGGGAAACCCUGAUCCAGCCAUCCCGCGUGUGCGAUGAAGGCCUUCGGGUUGUAAAGCACUUUUGGCAGGAAAGAAACGUCAUGGGUUAAUACCCCGUGAAACUGACGGUACCUGCAGAAUAAGCACCGGCUAACUACGUGCCAGCAGCCGCGGUAAUACGUAGGGUGCAAGCGUUAAUCGGAAUUACUGGGCGUAAAGCGUGCGCAGGCGGUUCGGAAAGAAAGAUGUGAAAUCCCAGAGCUCAACUUUGGAACUGCACUUUUAACUACCGGGCUAGAGUGUGUCAGAGGGAGGUGGAAUUCCGCGUGUAGCAGUGAAAUGCGUAGAUAUGCGGAGGAACACCGAUGGCGAAGGCAGCCUCCUGGGAUAACACUGACGCUCAUGCACGAAAGCGUGGGGAGCAAACAGG